rnacentral:rRNA from 1 species
CGGGUAGCAUUUAUUAGAUUGAAACCUUCUCGGCUUGCCGAUGUUGUGUUGAGUCAUAAUAACUGUGCGGAUCGCAUUCAAUGCGAUGAAUCAAUUGAGUUUCUGCCCUAUCAGCUUUGGAUGGUAGGAUAUGGGCCUACCAUGGCAUUAACGGGUAACGGGGAAUUAGGGUUUGAUUCCGGAGAGGGAGCCUGAGAAACGGCUACCACAUCCGAGGAAGGCAGCAGGCGCGUAAAUUACCCAAUCCUGACACAGGGAGGUAGUGACAAUAAAUAACAAUGCCGGGCUUUUUCAAGUCUGGCAAUUGGAAUGAGAACAAUUUAAAUCCCUUAACGAGGAUCAAUUGGAGGGCAAGUCUGGUGCCAGCAGCCGCGGUAAUUCCAGCUCCAAUAGCGUAUAUUAAAGUUGUUGCAGUUAAAAAACUCGUAGUUGGAUUUCUGUUUUGAAUAACCGGUCCGCUCAUGUAUUUGAGUGUGUACUAUGGUUAUUGAAUUCAUUUUUGUGAGGAUCCUUAUCUGGCAUUAAGUUGCCGGGUUUGUGUACUUGCAUCUUUUACUGUGAAAAAAUUAGAGUGUU